CCUACGGGUGGCUGCAGUGGGGAAUUUUACGCAAUGGGGGAAACCCUGACGUAGCGACACCGCGUGAGCGAAGAAGCCCUUUGGGGUGUAAAGCUCUGUCAGCUGGAACGAAAAAAAUGACGGUACCAGCAGAGGAAGCAUCGGCUAACUACGUGCCAGCAGCCGCGGUAAGACGUAGGAUGCGAGCGUUGUCCGGAUUCAUUGGGCGUAAAGAGUUCGUAGGUGGUUUGUUAAGUCUGAUGUUAAAGAUCGGGGCUCAACCCUGAGACUGCAUUGGAUACUGGCAGACUUGAGUAUGGUAGAGGCUAGUGGAAUUCCCAGUGUAGCGGUGAAAUGCGUAGAUAUUGGGAAGAACACCGGUGGCGUAGGCGACUAGCUGGGCCAUAACUGACGCUGAGGAACGAAAGCCAGGGUAGCGAAUGGGAUUAGAUACCCCUGUAGUC
rnacentral:rRNA from 1 species